rnacentral:rRNA from 1 species
GAUGAACGCUGGCGGCGUGCCUAAUACAUGCAAGUCGAGCGAACAGACGAGGAGCUUGCUCCUCUGACGUUAGCGGCGGACGGGUGAGUAACACGUGGAUAACCUACCUAUAAGACUGGGAUAACUUCGGGAAACCGGAGCUAAUACCGGAUAAUAUAUUGAACCGCAUGGUUCAAUAGUGAAAGACGGUUUUGCUGUCACUUAUAGAUGGAUCCGCGCCGUAUUAGCUAGUUGGUAAGGUAACGGCUUACCAAGGCAACGAUGCGUAGCCGACCUGAGAGGGUGAUCGGCCACACUGGAACUGAGACACGGUCCAGACUCCUACGGGAGGCAGCAGUAGGGAAUCUUCCGCAAUGGGCGAAAGCCAGACGGAGCAACGCCGCGUGAGUGAUGAAGGUCUUCGGAUCGUAAAACUCUGUUAUUAGGGAAGAACAAAUGUGUAAGUAACUAUGCACGUCUUGACGGUACCUAAUCAGAAAGCCACGGCUAACUACGUG